CCUACGGGUGGCAGCAGUGGGGAAUAUUGCGCAAUGGGCGCAAGCCUGACCCAGCAACGCCGCGUGAAGGAAGAAGGCUUUCGGGUUGUAAACUUCUUUUGUCAGGGAAGAGUAGAAGACGGUACCUGACGAAUAAGCCACGGCUAACUACGUGCAAGCAGCCGCGGUAAUACGUAGGUGGCAAGCGUUUUCCGGUUUUACUGGGUGUAAAGGGCGUGUAGCCGGGUUGACAAGUCAGAUGUGAAAUCCUGUGGCUUAACCGUAGAACUGCAUUUGAAACUGUUGAUCUUGAGUACUGGAGAGGCAGAUGGAAUUCCUGGUGUAGCGGUGAAAUGCGUAGAGAUUAGGAGGAACACCAGUGGCGAAGGCGGUCUGCUGGACAGCAACUGACGGUGAGGCGCGAAAGCGUGGGGAGCAAACAGGAUUAGAUACCCUGGUAGUC
rnacentral:rRNA from 1 species